GUUUUUGGGGUGUAAAGCACAUUAGGUUUUCAUCCUAAAAGAAUAAAGUAAAUUUAUCAAAAAUA
rnacentral:tRNA from 1 species